UGGUUGGAGAAUAGUUAUUAAGCAAGCUUUUGGGUUCAAAAGUUUCGGGUUUUUGAACCCAAAAGCUUGCUUAAUAACUAUUCUCCAACC
rnacentral:pre_miRNA from 1 species